UACAGAGGGUGCGAGCGUUAAUCGGAAUUACUGGGCGUAAAGCGUGCGUAGACGGUUAUUUAAGUCGGGGGUGAAAGCCCCGGGCUCAACCUGGGAAUUGCAUUCGAGACUGAAUAGCUAGGGUACGGUAGAGGGAAGUGGAAUUUCCGGUGUAGCGGUGAAAUGCGUAGAUAUCGGAAGGAACAUCAGUGGCGAAAGCGACUUCCUGGACCAGUACCGACGUUCAGGCACGAAAGCGUGGGGAGCAAACAGG
rnacentral:rRNA from 1 species